GCCUUCCAAAGCAAACCAUCACCAUCUGUGUUUUCAAGCUGCACCCAACCAACUAUUAUUCCAUUUAUUUCCUUUUAUCCUUCCUGCUGACUUUCACAAGAUAAAAAGUCAUCUCUGGUGUGGAAAUGAUGAUAAAACAAAGGGCACCGCAUUUUUAGAACACAAAGUUUGAGUUCUGGACUGGAUAGUGCUGGUUUUAUCUGCUCCUUUUGCCUUCUAUCUGUACAACAUGCAACUAAACAAGUUGUAAAAUGUCCUAAGAAGACUGCAAAAUCCAGUUUAUUGUUUUGAAAAAUUCCAGUUUGUGCCCAGGCUACUUGCUCCUAUAAAAAGACAGAAGAAAAGAACCGACUGAGUGGACUGAGAGGUUCUCUGGCUGAGUCUCCUCUGGUUUUCCCAGCUGUUUAGAACAAACAACUGAUUUGUACAAUGAUCAAACAGGUUACGUAGAACAAAGUCAUCAACAGCCAGAACCAGUUGUCAUCAAUCGACUGUGUAAAACCAGAUGGUUCAWUGGAGACCGUGGCUCUAGAAGAGGUGACUGGGAGACUCUGGGGUUGCUGAGAGAGAAAUAUCCAGGAGAAAUUUGUCGCAGACCGAGAGAAAUUGAGGCUGUUGCUGCGGACACAGAGACUCCUGCUGAACUGACAUAUCAGACAUUUUAUGCGUGAGUUGUCUUUAAAUAAUAUUUAUUAAAAGUCGUACAUGUUGAGUUUCUCCCUAAACCAGGGGUCCCCAGACUUUUUCCUGUAAGGGCCACAUAACUUUUCCCUUCUCUGGUGGGGGG